rnacentral:lncRNA from 1 species
ACUGUUCCUGAAAUUUCAUACAAGAAAAAAGCGUGGCACAGAGGUUUACGUGGAGUCCAUGCUUUUGGUGCUGGUUUUUGAUGUCCCAACUGUUCCAAAGCUCUCAAAAGGACGAAGAUUCUGUAACAAGGGGUGCAGGGGUACUGCUGCAAGUGACCACAGCUGAACUGGGGAUCUGAAAACUGGCAUCUGCAGUGCUGGUAUGUCUGCUUGGGCAACAGCAGCAGAUUCUUGAUAUGUAGGGAAUGGGAAAGAACAGCAUUCACAUUGAUUUGGCUUUUUGUGUCCUUUAAUUAUUGAUGGUUCAGUCAUCAAAGAAUAAUGUGGAAAAC